AGAGAGAAGAACCUUGUUUUCUUUCACUCUGCAGAUUCUUUGCCCCCCCUCCUUCGUCCAUGACCAUAUCUCUUUCUUUCUUCUAUGUUUUGUUCGUCCGUGUUGAUGAUCUGGUUUUAGCUUCACAAGCAUGGUGUACGCUCUUGUGUUUCUUGAGCCAUCCAUGCUCCUCUCGAUAUCUAUGUUUGUGCUGGUGAAGCUCUUCGAUCAUUCAUUGGCUCUCUCUCUCCUCCCCCCCCAACCUCAUCUUCAGGUAUACUUUUUUGGGAUCUCCAAAAAUACUUAAAAACUAAUUUUCAUCUGUUAAAAUCAUACUUAAACUAGUAGAAUACAACUUGCGGAUUAGGUUUCUUUUUUUAGAUUCAUUUACAAAAUCAACUAAAUAAAAUGAUUGGAUUAUAUUAAUAUAUUAGAUAAGAAGUUUGAUUAGUUAAUUUUAUGUUUCUUUUAUUUUGAACUUCUUUCAUAGUGCAUUGGUGACACAACCAAAAGGUUUUGAAUAUCUUGUAUAUAUUGUGCCAUUAUAUAAUAACAUUUUCAAUGUAAAUGUUUCAGGUUUCAAGGAGAGGGAGAGGGAGAGGGAGAGGGAGAGGGAGAGGGAGAGGGA
rnacentral:lncRNA from 1 species